rnacentral:misc_RNA from 1 species
UCUCCGUUGGUGAACCAGCGGAGGGAUCAUUACCAGAGUUUUACAACUCCCAACCCUUCUGUGAACCUACCUAUCGUUGCUUCGGCGGACUCGCCCCAGCGUCCGGACGGCCCCGCACCGGCCCGCGACCUGGACCCAGGCGGCCGCCGGAGACCACACAAUCCUGUAUCCAUCAGUCUAUCUGAAUCCGCCGAAAGGCAAAACAAACGAAUCAAAACUUUCAACAACGGAUCUCUUGGUUCUG